rnacentral:rRNA from 1 species
CGCGGCCUAUCAGCUUGUUGGUGAGGUAACGGCUCACCAAGGCAUCGACGGGUAGCUGGUCUGAGAGGACGAUCAGCCACACUGGGACUGAGACACGGCCCAGACUCCUACGGGAGGCAGCAGUAGGGAAUCUUGCGCAAUGGGCGAAAGCCUGACGCAGCAACGCCGCGUGGGGGAUGAAUGCCUUCGGGUUGUAAACCCCUUUCAGCAGGGACGAAAAUGACGGUACCUGCAGAAGAAGCUCCGGCCAACUACGUGCCAGCAGCCGCGGUAAUACGUAGGGAGCGAGCGUUGUCCGGAAUUAUUGGGCGUAAAGAGCUCGUAGGCGGUUCAGUAAGUCGGGUGUGAAAACUCAAGGCUCAACCUUGAGACGCCACUCGAUACUGCUGUGACUUGAGUCCGGUAGAGGAGUGUGGAAUUCCUGGUGUAGCGGUGAAAUGCGCAGAUAUCAGGAGGAGCACCAGCGGCGAAGGCGGCACUCUGGGCCGGUACUGACGCUGAGGAGCGAAAGCAUGGGGAGCAAACAGGAUUAGAUACCCUGGUAGUCCACGCCGUAAACGGUGGGAACUAGAUGUGGGGUCCGUUCCACGGAUUCCGUGUCGCAGCUAACGCAUUAAGUUCCCCGCCUGGGGAGUACGG